CCCCAGCGCGGAGUGGGACAACCAUGUGCGUCUCCUUCGUUACCGAAUGCACUGCACGCGCGUCCAGGUCACGCAGAGGCGGGCCGGCGGCGGGAGGGGCUGCGUCUGUUUUCCUGCGACAACACGAUGGGAAGCGCUGGCUCACACGCAGGCGGCUGAUGAAGUCCUCGAGACGUGACGACAUGUCAGGCAGGUGCUGCCGCAGCGACUCGCUACCCCCACCCCCCUCGCCACCCUCCCUGAACGGGAACGGCACCUCCGUGUUCUCUACGCUCCGAGGAGCACUUCUGAGAAACGGGGAGAAUUUCACAUUCUGUGAUUUGGUCUGAAUCUCUCCUCAUUUCGGAUAAUGAGGAAGAGGAAGAAGCACCUUUGCUGCCCAGGAAACAGCGCUUCCUCUAGCCUUCUUGGACUGGGACCCGCAUGAAAAUGGGUGUCACAGGAGUUUGCCUGAUUCCGUAUUAAUUUAUACGUGAACACCUCUUCUGUCACCCCCAUAGGAAUAGCCAAACAUUGUCAGGGCUGCGUAGAGAAUAUUCUGGAAAGGCGGUUUGAAUUUGCACACAUCAGGUCGACAAGGCUUCUUAUUGCAAAGGGAAUGAGGCCCAGAGAAUCUCUGAAACACGGACGGGAGGCGGUUCCAGACGGCCCUGCGUUUCCUCGCAUCGCCCCGCGGCCACUUGAUAAGCCGUCGUCCCCGCGUGCGAGGAGACCCACCGCCUCCCGCUGACCCGCGUCCUCGGGCUGUAAUUUCUUCCCCGCACAGAACAGACUCACCCCUCUGAACGGAGUGCGAGGGGUCGCGUGAGCCUGCGCUGCUGAGGGGUCAUCGCCCAGGGACGUCUGCCUCGCGUGGCAGACUCAGGACAGACGGGUGCGUGUCCCCCUGCCUGGCCCACGAGGCGGCGUCUGGGCAGAUGCUGCUCCGUGAGAAAAAGAAAAUCAAUGGAAAAAUAUUC